CGCCUUGUAAAAAGAAACAGAGAUAAAACAACACCAAUAGAGAAAGGACUCGAUCUACUCAAUUACCGGCUCGAUCAUCUCCGGCAACGAAGGGGUUGUUUUUUUUCCAGAUACGAUUAUCUCGGAUUGAGGUUAUUCAAUUUUGAAUUUUGGUUUUGUUUGCUUCUCACUGUAAUUCUUAUCGGGUGCUCUUAUUGUGUGCUUAGUGUCUCCCAUUAUCCCCUUUUUCCCCUGUGGUCUUAGCUAAUGUUUUGUUUCAAUUUUUCCUUCUUUUCUGCUCACUGAAUGCCUUUUUUUCUAUCAGUAAUGCAUAAAAUUGUUUUGUCUUAGCUUAACUGCUACCUAACCUGAACCUGACCCUUUUCAUUGAACGGGCUCAAAAUUGAUUCCUAAUUCUGGCACCUAAACUGGAAUCGGGUAGCUUAGGUUAGUUGGUUCAAUCUGGAAGUUACUUUGUUGUCUAUACAUCUGUUUGUGUUGUUGGCGCCG
rnacentral:misc_RNA from 1 species